UAAAAGACAAAAAAAC
rnacentral:sRNA from 1 species